rnacentral:rRNA from 1 species
GGGCUACACAUGCAAGUCGAGCGAGAAAGAGGGGCAACCUUGAGUAACAGCGGCGGACGGGUGAGGAACACGUAGGUAAUCUUGCCCCACGGUGGAGUGACAACGGUCCGAAAGGACCGCUAAUACUGCAUACGUUCCCCGGAUCUUCGGAUCUGGGGAGGAAAGCCUCGCAAGGGGCGCCGAGGGAGGAGCCUGCGUCGCAUCAGCUAGUUGGUGGGGUAAUGGCCUACCAAGGCGAAACGCGUACUGGUCUGAGAGGAUGAUCAGCCACACUGGGACUGAGACACUGGUCCAGACUCCUACGGGAGGCAGCAGUGGGGAAUAUUGGACAAUGGGCGCAAGCCUGAUCCAGCCAUGCCGCGUGCAGGAUUGAAGGCCCUAUGGGUCCGGUAAACUGUUUUAUACCAGAGAAAACCCUUCCAGUGUGGAAGGCUGAUAGUAUGGUAAGAAUAAGCAUCGGC